AUACACAACAGAGGGCUUUGAAAAGCAAAAUUGCUAUCAAGAAAUAUCGAGAGAAGCAUCUGUUGGUUGACAGGGUGAAAGAUAGCUCACAAGCAAGAAAAGUGGGAAACAAUAUGACUGAAAAGUUAAAGACUGAAAGAAGCUGUUUUCAAGCUCACCUGCAUCAAAUGUCUCCUGUUUUGUUAAGAGAGUUUGAACAGUGGACAAGUCUCGGCCAUAUUCUUCAGAGCGAACAUGAGAUUCUUUGUCGGCGAUCCAUGAUUCUACAACAUCGGCCUUCCACAUGAACUGCAGGUAGGCUGAGUUAUCCAUCAACUUGGCUUUACGAUGGGCAGCCAAAGAGGAGAGAUUGUCCAAUUUACUCUGAGGAAAUUCAAACAAAAAUCAAGUUGGAAAGAGAGGAAAUGUUGGGAUCACAGAAAAGAAAAUCUUGCUUAAUUGUAAGAAGGGGUAGGUGGACAUGGUUUCCUUGCAUCAACUUUAAAAUUUAAAAGAAUUCAUACAUCACAUCCGACUAAAUAUUUUUGCCUCAUUGGGUUAAAAUUAUCUGCUCUAUUGCUGGAAACAAAAAUGGACCACUCCGCAAGGUGAGAAUAUAAGUAUUAUGUUUUCCCAUCAAACUUUUAUGUAUGAUUUGCGCAAAUUUGCAUGAAAAAAAUUAUAGACAGUAGCUCUUAGUCAAGAUAGCGACGCAUUUCGAUGCAUGAGGUCAAAGUUCCUGUUUGUAAAAAAAUCAUAAUCUAGGAUUGGAGAAACAAUAAUCACCUGUAAUUGUUGACAACGCUGAAUGAUACUGUCAGAGUGAUGAUUGCCCGCUUCCAUAAGUUUGGAUCCUGCGCUGGAGAUUUCUCCGCAGCGGUCUCUAUGAACGGCAAAGUCAGUUUCAAAUGCGUCGUGUUUCUUGAGAAGACCUUGAACGGCGGCCAUGGUGUCUCCGUAAUCUUCUACGCUCAAAAGUUGUUGUUUUUCACUUAUCCAUGCUUCCUCUUCUUCAACUUUCGCCAAGAAUUGUUGAUACGUAAGAGACUCGUCCAAUUUUUGACCACGAGUGGCAGCAAGUUGUUUCAGCUCAGACCAGGCUUGGUUCAGUAAUUUUAGGCGCUAGGAGCAUAAAACAAGAGAAGAGUUAUGGACUGAAAACCUUUAAAAAAAGUGACAGGAGUAAAAAACUAGCCACGCUAAUUUUUAUGAGAAUACUUGAAUGCAGGAACAGUAGCAAAUAGAAUUAAUUGC
rnacentral:lncRNA from 1 species